UCUGAUGGGCAGUUCUACUCUCCGCCAGAGUCUUUGGCAGACUCUGACGAGGAGCUGGAUGAUAAACACGAACCUGAAAAAGGGCUCAUUACACAAGUGACUUAACAGGAUCUCCGAUCCUGAACAUGGAGGGAUUUUUGGGUCCUCCAGCGUUGUGCUACUGAGGGGAAAACUUCUGCCUUACACUUUCAGCCAUUUUAGUUUGUAUUUGUUCCAAAGGAGUUCAUAUCCACAAAUGCAGCUCACGUUCUGAUAUCAGCCUUCUGCACGUACACCGGGAAAGUGCCACUUAAAAGUUUCAGUGUCAUGAACUUUGGUUACUGUAUGAGUUUUGUUUCUCCACCUUUAAGGAACUUGAGACCUUACAAGAGAUUUAUCUGAAAUAAAUCAUUACAUCCUUAUCAGCAUCCAUCCAUAAUUCAAAACAUUACAUUCAUUUUAAAACUUAAAAAAAAUAUAUAUAUAUAUACACUUUCAAUUAAAAAACAGAGUGUUAAUGUCUUAUUUCCAGCAUAAUGUUUACUUAUAAUUCUGUGAUCAUUUUCUUAUGCUUCGGUUGAGUCACUGCAAAGGAAAAUAGGCUCAUGGAUGCCACAGAAAGGAUUGUUCAUCCAGUAUUGAGCCUGCAGACCAGACUGUAGCAGAAAGAGAAAGUCAAACUCUUACAGAUGUUUAUGAUUACUUCAAUGUCUUAAAAAUGUGCAUGAAAGAAUAUUAAGGUAACAUAUAGAGAUGUGAACGAUACUGUUUGUUUUGAAACGAGAGCGAAGGAUCGUGUGUUAAAGAAAACGAGCCAUAAACGUGCAGCAUGUACACUCGGAGAUUUGGGUUUCGUGCACUGAACAGAAGGGACGCUGCUCUCGAAAGCUGCUGUGACGGGCGGGGAAACGCUCUAAUGGAAAUGUACAUAUCUUCAUGCAUGCUUUGCAAGCUCAGUGGAUGUUUAUUCUUUGUUUUCUUUUUUUAAAGAAAAGCCCGUCUGUAUAACAGAAUCAUUAAAAUGUUAAAGGUUAUGUGGUUUUGUUUAAUUGUUUAUGUCAAACCUCGACCUUAAAGAGUUCAACAGAAUAAGAACUUAGACAUAAAUUAGCCUUAUGAAUAAAUAAAAUGUGAAAAUAUUCCUUUAAAAAAA